AGACACCUGGCGAGGGCCGGGCAUACGUGUUAUGGUGUGGGAGCCGAAGGGACGCCACGGAUGCGAUACAGAUUGGUCAUGGAUGAUGGGUGCUACCUAUCCAAUAAGGAUACAACGUACCAUUUCGUCACGUAUGAACCAUGGUGAGACCGUGCAAGUGCCUACCGCGUGUACCACAGGGUCUGCAACGGCACAUCACAUGGCUCCAAACCGCUGUUUUGAUUGGAGGCGGGGCUCGUCGCUUUAGGUUAGUGCGGCUGCAUCCAUAUCCGAACCCACCGCAGAUCAUGUCACAAAUCAUAUUACAUAAUAAAUCGGUCACUAUGUUCAAUUUGGCUGCCAGCUGCCACUGGGUAUCAUUUUUGUACUGGAGAAGCCAUUCGAACCGGAGCCCGUCAUUCAUUUGUGUAUUGCUUGGCUUCAUCCUUCCAUGAAGGAGCUGGUUCCAGGUAUCUGGAAGGCCUGCAACACACCAGUGGCUGCAGUCCAUGCCUGAAUCGUCCCUAUUGUACACAGAUGGGUGAGCAUCCUUUCUAAGCUGCGAGAGAAACGUGACAUCCAGUAGAUAUACUGGCAUUGACAUGGUCUGCAACACUCUCUUUACUAUGGCCUGUGCUGGAAGGGAACCUCCUGGAUAUCUUGGUCUAAUCAAUGGUUGAGUCUGUCCAUAGCAUCUCUUUGCAUUUGGUUCACCCCAGUCCCUUCCUCUGAUUCCCACAGUAUUCACAAGGACGAGAAAAGACAAGAGAUAUAUAAGCUACAAAAGUCUUCUUUCACAGGCCAAAGAGGACUCUCCCGAAGUGUUUCUUGGUAGUGGGUGAGGCUCUGGGCCCUCGCCAUCUGGCGUGCCGGUGACCCGGCAGAGGUGCCUUUGAAGCAUGGAGGAAAUGGACAAGGACAAGAAGAAAAGACGAAUUGGGUGGCUUACACCUCCCUUUCGUUCGGGAAAAAAGAAGAAGAAGAAGAAGAAGAAGAAAAAGAAAAGGUGAAAGAGACGAGACACCACGGUCAUUGCAAUUGCCAUGUAAUGCAAGUAGUUUUGGGACGAAGGGGCAGUGCACAGUGCUCUACCUUUUACUGCUGUUUAUGAACAAGUUUCCACCAGAAAAGGAAUAGAGGAAAAUGUAAAUAGGCACUUAAGUGAGUCAGGUAGCAAGUAAAACUUAAAAAAGAGGUGGGAUUCGUCACUCUGAAUGUGUAUUAUGAAGGAUUUAUCAGUGAAUACCCGCAAUUUUUAGGUGAGU